CGGGCUGUAGUAUAUCGGCAGUAUACACGCUUCGGGUGCGUGAGGGCUGGGUUCGAUUCCCAGCAGCCCGA
rnacentral:tRNA from 1 species